rnacentral:sRNA from 1 species
GCUGGGCAUAGUGGCUCGUGCCUGUAAUCCCAGCCACUAGGGAGGCUAAUGCAGGAGGAUCACAAGUUCAAAGCCAGCCUCAGAAGAUUAGUGAGGCCCUUAGCAACUCAGUGAGACCUUGUGUCUA